CCAUAUCCAUCCCGUUGAGACGCGCAUCCGCGCUUAAUAGGGAAUCCGGUGCGACGCCGGAGCGGCCCUCGCCGCUGUAAUCCCGGCCCCCCGAACGGGGGGAAAUCGGCCCCUCCAGGCAUGCCACUGCCGCGAUCCGCGGCGGGAAGGCGGAGCGGGCUCCGGGAGAGCCAGAAGACCUGUCUCGACAUCAUGCUGCGU
rnacentral:ncRNA from 2 species